rnacentral:lncRNA from 1 species
CAGCGCCCUGGCCCCGGAGCGGUUUAGCCGCUGCCUUGUGUCGCGGCCGCGUGCCGGGCGAUGGCCGCCCAGACCCCCGGACCCCCGAUCGCCAGUCCCGGGGCUUCCCGCCCGCGCCUCGGUGGAGGGAGGCCCCGGAGGCGCCAUCGCUCGCGCCUGCCACCUGGACGCUGAAUAAACUGGGAAACAAUUAGGUGGCCGGGUGGGGAAGGUGCUGGGUGACUGCACUGCCAGGCGGCCGCGUGCCCCCGCGCUCGCAGGGGUUGGCGACUGGGGGCGGUUGGGAGUUCGUGUUUAGGGAGGAAGGUGAGAGGUGCGGGAUCUGCCCACGAGGGCAGUCGCUCUCGGAGAAUCGGGGAAUGGCUCUGUCAGGUCGCAGGCCCUCCUCCGCCUUUAUCCCCAUCACGCACAAAAAGAAUGGGCCUUGCAAGGGAUGUUUAUUAUGCACUUUUAAGUGACUAUUCAGAAAAGAGCAGGAGGCACAAUAAAAAAGGCUUCUGCCCCACCAAUUCCCUUCCCUUGAAGAAAAAAAGAAAGAGAAAGCCACCCACAAAGAAAGAGAGAAGAGAGGGAGAGAUGCCACACUGAAAAUACCAUUCACAAUAGAUGGGAACACCAAACGGCCACAGAGAUGAUACCAAAGACAUCAGUGGUGUCAAGCGAGCAGCAGAUUCCGGUGAUGGUCAUGCCAGCAGAGUCAAAAGCUGACAAUGUAUGCAGCCGGGUCGGCCCUGGGGAAGAGGAGCCAAAAGUCAUGGCUUUGGAAUCAUUUUAAUCUGUCUCUGGGUACAAGAAAUGUCACAGAGGUUCACCUGAAAUCAAAUUAUCCCUUUCUCUUUGCUUGUUUUGUACCACCUAAUCCUCUAACUCUUUAUUAAACAUUAUCUUUCCCAUCUGCUCCAGCGAGUGCUCAACACCUUGUGGACCAACUGCGGGCUGAUUGGUUUUUAUGAGCAACAGGAUCUCAGUUUUAUGCACAUGCUUAGGAUUAUCUCAAGGACAGAGAGGAUGAACAAUCCAUUAAACAGAAUAAGCAACUACACAUCUCAAGGUAGCUACGGCGUAGACUUGAUUUCAAAAGAAAAGGCUGAAUUAAAAUAUGUCUGUCCAAAAUGUCCGACCUCCCACACAUAGAAACAGCAUUUUCUGUUCUCCCCGUUCUAGUGAGUGCUACUACUAGAAAUCACAUCUCAGUCCCACUCAAUCAGACUUCCCAGCCCUUAAAUCUUAUUUUAAGAUCUGACACUACAUUAAGAAAAAGAUCCUCUGGAAAGCCCUCUUUGCGCUGAUCUGUGGGCACAGCGUGCCGAAUGCACAGGCGCAUGCGCACACAGGCACACAUACUUUUUAAAAGG